UACGGAGGGGGCUAGCGUUGUUCGGAAUCACUGGGCGUAAAGCGCGCGUAGGCGGCCAAUCAAGUCAGGUGUGAAAGCCCGGGGCUCAACCUCGGAUGUGCGCCUGAAACUGGUUGGCUUGAGUGCGGAAGAGGGUGGUGGAAUUCCCAGUGUAGAGGUGAAAUUCGUAGAUAUUGGGAAGAACACCGGUGGCGAAGGCGACCACCUGGUCCGCAACUGACGCUGAGGCGCGAAAGCGUGGGGAGCAAACAGG
rnacentral:misc_RNA from 1 species